CACGCUAACGGCCGGCUGGCCGUAGCUAAUUACUCAUUAGCCCAUAUGUUAAUAACUAGCACCAAAUUAGAGAAUCCCAAAGCCAGUAGGCAAAAGCCCAUGUCGAUCGUGGCUGGCUUAUUUUGAUCGAUGAAUCAAUCAGAUCGUGACCUGUGUAUGUGUAUGUUCUGCACUUUCACCGGCUAGAUAUAGUAACUUCGGUUUAGACUUGAUAGUCUCCGUCAUCCUAGAGCAUAGUAGCAGCUGUUUCUAGUAACCUAACGAUUGAGCACGUGGUGUAGCGGCACAGCAUUGGUCUUCAACAGUGUGUUUGUAGCGUGUCUCUUCCACGACACAUUGAUCGUUGGAGUCUUCGAACCUAGCGUCACAACUCAUGCGAGUGAACCCUAAACUUAAGGUAUAUCAUUACAAAUUAAUAUUGUUGUUAGACUUUUAAAGAGUGUUGGUUAGUAUUUUUGUUAGAUCUACUUAAAUGUGCUUGCAAGUGCUUGAAUGAAUCCAUCAUUCUUUACAGGAUCAAAAUUUCUUGAAUAUUCAUCUUCAGGAGAAAGUUUAGGGCAUAUAUAGCGGGCUACUUCUAUAGAAGGAGGUACAACUGCGUGAAUAAUGUUGGCCUAUAAAGCAGUAGGUAAUUUAAGUUACAUAAUCUGCAAUGUAAUUUUGAAACUCAUGUUGAAAAGAUAUUGUAUUCACUAUUCAGAUUAGUAUUAUUGUCAAGCAUGUAUACAAAUCAAACUCGCUAGAAAACGCACUUGUCAACAUUUAAUACAGCCAACUGAUUUAGCUUUGUGCAAAUUAUUUUCUAUCAACUUCCAGUAUUUCUGGAUUUUUUUGAUCUCUACAUUUCUAUGCACUGUUUUGGUAACUACAGAUCUGUGUUUGCAAUGAAGCAUGCUCUGUUUGUCGGCGCACAUAUUUUUUAGGCAUGUACCUCCCUGUAUCUUCAUUAUGUUCUUUAUAAGGUGUUUAUUAACUCAAUUUACAUAUGAAUGGUCUAUUCAUAAGGCUCUCUUUUCUUUGUCAAUAAAGUUGAGUGUUAUAGCUAGGACUGUAAAGAAGUGUUCCAAUUAUGAUAUAUUAAAGCCCUUUAGAGGUCGACGCAUGCUGGAUGAUGCAACGAUUAUUUUGGUGCUUGCUUUGACUUAGGUGUUCAGAGAAGUAAAACUUCAACUAACGUGUUUAGUGAGCAUCAAACAUCCAUCUCAAGAUAAGGUAUGCUCAUUUCUCUACUAUUUGGAAUUCAACCUGGCUGAGGAACAAUUUAUUAUUGAUCAUUGUUUUUGCAAUACGAAUGCUUAUUGUAGUUCCUGCUUGGCUUGGGAAAUCUAAACAAGAAUGUUGCUCUUGCUACACUCCAAAGUACCGACCUAGAAUGUAAAACAAAAAUUGAGGGUGUCAAACUUGGUAAUUGAUUCUUGAUUGACAGGACCAAUAACAAAACUGUUGGUCAUAUAGCAAGAUUAACUUUCACAUGACCUUGAACCUUUGUAUGUUGCUCUUUGUUUAAAUUUUACUGCCCUAUUAACUUGAUUUUCUUUGAUGGCACCUUACUUUUCUCAUUUCUUUGUUGUUGUAGAUUGCAAGAUAAAUCGAUGAUGCGUUGCUCAGGAGUUGAUUGCAAGAUCAACGAGGCGGCUACUACUAGAUAGUUGUAGAUUAGAUUUUAGAAUGUCAUUCGGGUCAAUGUUCCAAACAUUAUGUUUUAGAUGGCUGACAUGUUGAUUGCAAGGUUGAGAAUCAGACUACUACUAGAUAGCUUCACAUAUUGUAAUCCUUGUAUAAUGUUCUUUGUAAAGCCACUGAGUUGAAUUAAUAUAUGUGACCUUUUUAAUUAUUAUGUUUG
rnacentral:lncRNA from 1 species